rnacentral:rRNA from 1 species
AGCUCCAAUAGCGUAUAUUAAAGUUGUUGCAGUUAAAAAGCUCGUAGUUGGAUUUGUGGUGUGACUUGUGGGUGGGUGGACUAGUUUCACCUUUCUGUACGGGUCUGCCUUUUAUGGGAUUGUUGGCUUGGUGGCAUUAGGUUGUCGCUAAGUCGGUGCCCAUCUUUUACUGUGAAAAAAUUAGAGUGUUCAAAGCAGGCUUACGCCGUUGAAUAUGUUAGCAUGGAAUAAUGAUAUAGGCCUUCGGUACUAUUUUGUUGGUUUGCGUACCGCAGGAAUGAUUAAUAGGGACAGUUGGGGGUAUUCGUAUUCCAUUGUCAGAGGUGAAAUUCUUGGAUUUUUGGAAGACGAACUACUGCGAAAGCAUUUACCAAGGAUGUUUUCA